rnacentral:rRNA from 1 species
GAUGAACGCUGGCGGCGUGCCUAAUACAUGCAAGUCGAGCGAACAGACGAGGAGCUUGCUCCUCUGACGUUAGCGGCGGACGGGUGAGUAACACGUGGAUAACCUACCUAUAAGACUGGGAUAACUUCGGGAAACCGGAGCUAAUACCGGAUAAUAUAUUGAACCGCAUGGUUCAAUAGUGAAAUACGGUUUUGCUGUCACUUAUAGAUGGAUCCGCGCCUCAUUAGCUAGUUGGUAAGGUAACGGCUUACCAAGGCGACGAUGCGUAGCCGACCUGAGAGGGUGAUCGGCAACCCUGGACCUGAGACACGGUCAAGACUCCUACGGGAGGAAGAAGUAGGGAAUCUUCCGAAAUGGGCGAAAGCCUGACGGAGCAACGCCGCGUGAGUGAUGAAGGUCUUCGGAUCGUAAAACUCUGUUAUUAGGGAAGAACAAAUGUGUAAGUAAAUAUGCACGUCUUGACGGUACCUAAUCAGAAAGCCACGGCUAACUACGUG